GGAAGGUAUGCCGAUCGGUUUAGGCAAAAGUUUGCUAAACUUUCAUCGUGAAAGCGAUGGGUGGGUUCGACUCCCACACCUUCCG
rnacentral:tRNA from 1 species